GAUGAACGCUGGCGGCGUGCCUAAUACAUGCAAGUCGAACGCAUAGCGAAAGGUGCUUGCACCUUUCAAGUGAGUGGCGAACGGGUGAGUAACACGUGGACAACCUGCCUCAAGGCUGGGGAUAACAUUUGGAAACAGAUGCUAAUACCGAAUAAAACUUAGUGUCGCAUGACACAAAGUUAAAAGGCGCUUCGGCGUCACCUAGAGAUGGAUCCGCGGUGCAUUAGUUAGUUGGUGGGGUAAAGGCCUACCAAGACAAUGAUGCAUAGCCGAGUUGAGAGACUGAUCGGCCACAUUGGGACUGAGACACGGCCCAAACUCCUACGGGAGGCUGCAGUUGGGAAUCUUCCACAAUGGGCGAAAGCCUGAUGGAGCAACGCCGCGUGUGUGAUGAAGGCUUUCGGGUCGUAAAGCACUGUUGUAUGGGAAGAACAGCUAGAAUAGGAAAUGAUUUUAGUUUGACGGUACCAUACCAGAAAGGGACGGCUAAAUACGUG
rnacentral:rRNA from 1 species